UACGUAGGGUGCAAGCGUUGUCCGGAAUUAUUGGGCGUAAAGAGCUCGUAGGCGGUCUGUCACGUCGGCUGUGAAAACCCGAGGCUCAACCUCGGGCCUGCAGUCGAUACGGGCAAACUAGAGUACUGCAGGGGAGACUGGAAUUCCUGGUGUAGCGGUGAAAUGCGCAGAUAUCAGGAGGAACACCGGUGGCGAAGGCUGGUCUCUGGGCAGUAACUGACGCUGAGGAGCGAAAGCGUGGGGAGCGAACAGG
rnacentral:rRNA from 1 species